rnacentral:lncRNA from 1 species
AGGCUAGGUGGGCGGCUGUGCCUGGGCGGCUGCCUGCCGAGUCCCUGCCGCGCCGCUGCCGGGGAGCGGGAGCUGCCGCCGCUGUUGGUGUUGAUUUUUACCUUCUAUUUUGAGGAUGACACCAAAACAUGAAAAACAGGAAUUUGUAACUGUCCUGGUACGGGACCCUAGGAUACAGAAGGAAGACUCUUGGCAUUCACAUAUAGAGUAUGAGAUAUUCAUUCAUGUAAGUAUAAAAAUAACAUAGUAAAAAUACUUUG